AGUGGAAUUGCUGGGUCUUAUGGUAACUAUUUCACUUUUUGAGAAACUGCCAAACUGUUUUCCAAAGUUGCUGUACCAUGUUACAUUUCCACUAACAAU
rnacentral:pre_miRNA from 1 species